rnacentral:rRNA from 1 species
CAGUAGCCGCGGGAAUACGUAGGUGGCAAGCGUUGUCCGGAAUUAUUGGGCGUAAAGGGCUCGCAGGCGGUUUCUUAAGUCUGAUGUGAAAGCCCCCGGCUCAACCGGGGAGGGUCAUUGGAAACUGGGAAACUUGAGUGCAGAAGAGGAGAGUGGAAUUCCUCGUGUAGCGGUGAAAUGCGUAGAGAUGUGGAGGAACACCAGUGGCGAAGGCGACUCUCUGGUCUGUAACUGACGCUGAGGAGCGAAAGCGUGGGGAGCGAACAGGAUUAGAUACCCGAGUAGUCCCUGUCUCUUAUAC